CGGGACACGUGGUAUCCUGUCUGAAUAUGGGGGGACCAUCCUCCAAGGCUAAAUACUCCUGACUGACCGAUAGUGAACCAGUACCGUGAGGGAAAGGCGAAAAGAACCCCGGCGAGGGGAGUGAAAAAGAACCUGAAACCGUGUACGUACAAGCAGUGGGAGCACGCUUAGGCGUGUGACUGCGUACCUUUUGUAUAAUGGGUCAGCGACUUAUAUUCUGUAGCAAGGUUAACCGAAUAGGGGAGCCGAAGGGAAACCGAGUCUUAACUGGGCGUUAAGUUGCAGGGUAUAGACCCGAAACCCGGUGAUCUAGCCAUGGGCAGGUUGAAGGUUGGGUAACACUAACUGGAGGACCGAACCGACUAAUGUUGAAAAAUUAGCGGAUGACUUGUGGCUGGGGGUGAAAGGCCAAUCAAACCGGGAGAUAGCUGGUUCUCCCCGAAAGCUAUUUAGGUAGCGCCUCGUGAAUUCAUCUCCGGGGGUAGAGCACUGUUUCGGCAAGGGGGUCAUCCCGACUUACCAACCCGAUGCAAACUGCGAAUACCGGAGAAUGUUAUCACGGGAGACACACGGCGGGUGCUAACGUCCGUCGUGAAGAGGGAAACAACCCAGACCGCCAGCUAAGGUCCCAAAGUCAUGGUUAAGUGGGAAACGAUGUGGGAAGGCCCAGACAGCCAGGAUGUUGGCUUAGAAGCAGCCAUCAUUUAAAGAAAGCGUAAUAGCUCACUGGUCGAGUCGGCCUGCGCGGAAGAUGUAACGGGGCUAAACCAUGCACCGAAGCUGCGGCAGCGACGCUUAUGCGUUGUUGGGUAGGGGAGCGUUCUGUAAGCCUGUGAAGGUGUACUGUGAGGU
rnacentral:rRNA from 1 species